rnacentral:rRNA from 1 species
CACGUAGGGUGCAAGCGUUGUCCGGAAUUACUGGGCGUAAAGCGCGUGUAGGCGGUUGUCCAAGUUGGAUGUGAAAGCCUUGAGCUCAACUCAAGAAAUGCAUUCAGGACUGGAUGACUAGAGGACCGGAGAGGAUAGUGGAAUUCCCAGUGUAGUGGUGAAAUACGUAGAGAUUGGGAAGAACACCAGUGGCGAAGGCGGCUAUCUGGACGGUUUCUGACGCUAAGACGCGAAAGCGUGGGGAGCAAACAGG